rnacentral:miRNA from 1 species
UUAACAUCAACAGCCCUAUCGAUUUGUUUGCACUUCAUUUGACAUUUAUUCUUGGAAUAAAUGUCAAAUGAAGUGCAAACAAAUCGAUAGGGCUGUUGAUGUUAA